GACGUAGGUGGCGAACGUUAUCCGGAAUUAUUGGGCGUAAAGGGUGCGUAGGCGGCAUGAUAAGUUAUUGGCGGCAAAUCGAGGCUCAACCUCGUGGAAACUGAUAAUACUGUCUUGCUUGAGUGCAGAAGAGGUUAACGGAACUCCAUGUGGAGCGGUAAAAUGUGUAGAUAUAUGGAAGAACAUCAAUAACGGCGAAGGCAGUUAACUAUUCUGUUACUGACGUUGAGGCACGAAAGCGUGGGGAUCAAACAGG
rnacentral:rRNA from 1 species